rnacentral:rRNA from 1 species
UAUGAAGGGUGCAAACGUUGCUCGGAAUCAUUGGGCGUAAAGCGCACGUAGGCGGCUUCGCAAGUCGGAUGUGAAAUCCCUCGGCUCAACCGAGGACGUGCAUACGAAACUGCGGAGCUUGAGUGCUGAAGAGGAUCGCGGAAUUCCCGGUGUAGAGGUGAAAUUCGUAGAUAUCGGGAGGAACACCAGUGGCGAAGGCGGCGAUCUGGGCAGACACUGACGCUGAGGUGCGAAAGCGUGGGGAGCAAACAGG